rnacentral:rRNA from 1 species
UCCAGACUCCUACGGGAGGCAGCAGUGGGGGAUAUUGCACAAUGGGGGGAACCCUGAUACAGCGACGCCGCGUGGGUGAAGAAGCGCCUCGGCGCGUAAAGCCCUGUCAGCAGGGAAGAAAAUGACGGUACCUGAAGAAGAAGCCCCGGCUAACUACGUGCCAGCAGCCGCGGUAAUACGUAGGGGGCAAGCGUUAUCCGGAUUUACUGGGUGUAAAGGGGGCGCAGACGGCGAUGCAAGCCAGGAGUGAAAGCCCGGGGCCCAACCCCGGGACUGCUCUUGGAACUGCGUGGCUGGAGUGCAGGAGGGGCAGGCGGAAUUCCUGGUGUAGCGGUGAAAUGCGUAGAUAUCAGGAGGAACACCGGCGGCGAAGGCGGAUUACUGGACGAUAACUGACGGUGAGGCGCGAAAGCGUGGGGAGCAAACAGGAUUAGAUACCCCAGUA